rnacentral:rRNA from 1 species
GGGUGAGUAACACGUGAGUAACCUGCCCCAGACUCCGGGAUAAGCCUUGGAAACGAGGUCUAAUACUGGAUACGAGAUGCCCCUGCAUGGGGAGUGUCUGGAAAGAUUUAUCGGUCUGGGAUGGACUCGCGGCCUAUCAGCUUGUUGGUGGGGUAAUGGCCUACCAAGGCGACGACGGGUAGCCGGCCUGAGAGGGCGACCGGCCACACUGGGACUGAGACACGGCCCAGACUCCUACGGGAGGCAGCAGUGGGGAAUAUUGCACAAUGGGCGAAAGCCUGAUGCAGCGACGCCGCGUGAGGGAUGAAGGCCUUCGGGUUGUAAACCUCUUUCAGCAGGGAAGAAGCGCAAGUGACGGUACCUGCAGAAGAAGCGCCGGCUAACUACGUGCCAGCAGCCGCGGUAAUACGUAGGGCGCAAGCGUUGUCCGGAAUUAUUGGGCGUAAAGAGCUCGUAGGCGGUUUGUCGCGUCUGGUGUGAAAACUCAAGGCUCAACCUUGAGCUUGCAUCGGGUACGGGCAGACUAGAGUGCGGUAGGGGUGACUGGAAUUCCUGGUGUAGCGGUGGAAUGCGCAGAUAUCAGGAGGAACACCGAUGGCGAAGGCAGGUCACUGGGCCGCAACUGACGCUGAGGAGCGAAAGCAUGGGGAGCGAACAGGAUUAGAUACCCUGGUAGUCCAUGCCGUAAACGUUGGGCACUAGGUGUGGGGCUCAUU